rnacentral:rRNA from 1 species
CCUACGGGUGGCAGCAGUCGAGAAUCAUUCACAAUGAGGGAAACCCUGAUGGUGCGACGCCGCGUGGGGGAAUGAAGGUCUUCGGAUUGUAAACCCCUGUCAUGUGGGAGCAAAUUAAAAAGAUAGUACCACAAGAGGAAGAGACGGCUAACUCUGUGCCAGCAGCCGCGGUAAUACAGAGGUCUCAAGCGUUGUUCGGAAUCACUGGGCGUAAAGCGUGCGUAGGCUGUUUCGUAAGUCGUGUGUGAAAGGCGCGGGCUCAACCCGCGGACGGCACAUGAUACUGCGAGACUAGAGUAAGGGAGGGGGAACCGGAAUUCUCGGUGGAGCAGUGAAAUGCGUAGAUAUCGAGAGGAACACUCGUGGCGAAGGCGGGUUCCUGGACAUUAACUGACGCUGAGGCACGAAGGCCAGGGGAGCGAAAGGGAUUAGAUACCCCAGUAGUC